UAAAGAAAUGCCAAUAAACCAGAGCACGUUUUUCUCCCAUCCAGGAAUGCUGUCCGGUAAUGCGAGACUAGUAGUAGCCUAGCUUAGAUCACGACGCACAUUUUUACUUCCGUAAGGUUGCACCAAUCAUUUCGUACAGCUAUAAGGAACAUAUAGCCCGGUCGUACAAAGUUGUUACCGGUAAUCACAUCAGGGUAAUAAUGUGAACUGAAACUUUUGAUGUUAUUAUUAAGUUAUAGCGGUAUGUUGAUGUUUGUUUCCAGUAACCUGGAUUAGAAAAUAUAGUCACAACUUAAAAGAAACGAGUGUAUUGAUUAACAGAUGAAACCUUUUUUCGUCCAGAUGUUUUUUUGAAGAGUCUUUGAGGAUUCUGCAAAGACCUUCAGCUAACAACAACUAUUGUUACCUGAAUUAGUUCCAGGGUGGAGAACAGUGGAAAUAAAAGCAGAACCUGCGACAGUGGCUACAUGUUGAGUUCAUGUAGUGGAAAAAGUGAGUUGAUACAGCAAAGAGGGUAGACCGGGCGCUCACUGACUGCUCUACAUCAGAUAUAUUUUGUCCUGUCUAAUAACGUGUCAGAAGCACGUUUGAAACCCCUUUACGAUAUGUGUAACCCUGUCUUGAAACAUUCCUUAUUUGAGUUAUAUCGAACAUCUUUGAGCGUUGAAAGUUGAUCUUGCUUUUACUGAAGCGGGUGAUGAUACUACCUAAAAAGCCAUUUCUCGGUAGAAACACAACUGUAGUAAUACUUGACAAAAAACCCUAACUUUAUGCAAUAUAUUCAUGUAUAUUGAUGCUGUAUUUGUGUGUUGUGAUCAACAAAUGAACUUGCUAUAAUUCCCUCCAUCCUGAUCCUUGUGUGAGAAGUGUUUCAUGUCGCAGCUCGGACUUUGCCGUCAUUUCAUAAUUGAGUAUAUUUAUGUAUGUCAGUAUACACUCACAAAGUACUUCUGAGAAGAGUUGAAGGGGCUGACAAUGCUGUGAUUAACUCUCUACAGAGCCAUUGUAAAUGUAGUGGAUUUUAUGGAGUUGCUGUAUUUUCAAUGCGUUAGUCAUUCCUUAUGUCGGCUGUGAUCUGUCAACCAGAUGUGUAAUAUAUAAAUAUAUAUAUAUAUGUACGCGUGCAGUUUCUUUGUUUGUAUUUGCUCAGUUUGUGGCGAAAUCAUUGCCGGUUCAUAUGAGAUCACGUCUGUUGUUCUGAUAAUGUGUGAAAACGUAUUUUUUUCCAGAUUAAAUGUGCGAACAUGUCAUCAGUCAGA